rnacentral:rRNA from 1 species
UCCGUUAGGGGGGCCUGCGGAGGGAUCAUUA